AUAGGAAAAACACAAUGAAAACUCACAUAGUUGCAAUUUCGAUGAUGAUUAUGUUGGGUUUUGUACAAAUUCUACAAACUGAGGCACUCAUCCCAUGUACUAUAACAUGUGGCUUAAAGUGUUUGAUUUCUUCUCUACCCUAUGGCCUGUGUUGGGUUCCGUGUGUUAUAAAAUGUGAAAUAAUUCCAGGCGCUUUAGAUUGUGUUAAAGGUUGUGGCGUCAACAAAACCGUCACCAUUGAUAUUGAUGCUGCUGGUAAGGUAUCUAAUGUGGUUGAUUCUUGCUUGCAAAAGUGUUCCAAGU
rnacentral:sRNA from 1 species